AUGACUUUUUGUGUCCACUUCAAACCGCAUGGAGAUUGUCGAUGCAUGCUACCGGGAGGUCUUCUGUGUCUUGAGUGUGACGGAUGUGGGGAGGUGUUGCUGAAAGAGGAAGCUGCUGUUGUGCUGCUUCUACAGAACAAUGAAGGCUGCCACACAACUGAAGGUAUGAUUGGAAACGCCAGUCUGCUGGCUGCAGUCCUGACAGUUGUGUCAGUGGUGUCUCUAAGUGUAGUGUCUGUUCUCUGUCUGCGCUGCAGAAGGAAAUCUAAGAUCAUACAUGAGGAGCAUCAAGUAUACAACCCGCAGACAUUUCAACGCGAGGGAAGUGUGUUUGCUGUGACACAAUCAAAAACAGUCACCAGAGCCAAUCAGAUAUCUUCAACCACAGUUGAAAUUCAAGAAUUACCACAAGCUGAAAUCGAUGAUCAGUCAGACUAUGAAAAUAUCUCAGAUGCCCAAGUAGGAACACAUGUGGAACAUACAUAUGUCGCUCCACUCCCGAAUUCACUGUAUGUGAAUGAAGAAAAAAGUUUAACUGAUGCUGAUCAGACUCCAGAUGUCUAUGCAAACAUUAUCACAUCAUUGCCAAUAGCUGAAGAUGAUGAUGAUGACUAUGAGAACGCUCAAUUCUUGGAUGAAGCUGUGCAGGAACAAGAAGAUGAUGAGCCAGAUUAUGUGAAUGAAAAUGGGGACUGCACCUGA
rnacentral:lncRNA from 1 species